AUACGUAGGUGGCAAGCGUUGUCCGGAUUUACUGGGUGUAAAGGGCGCGUAGGCGGGUGAGCAAGUCAGGUGUGGAAUCCAUGGGCUUAACCCAUGAACUGCACUUGACACUGUUUAUCUUGAGUAUCGGAGAGGCAAGCGGAAUUCCGUGUGUAGCGGUGAACUGCGUAGAUAUACGGAGGAACACCAGUGGCGAAGGCGGCUUGCUGGACGACAACUGACGCUGAGGCGCGAAAGCGUUGGGAGCAAACAGGAUUAGAUACCCUGGUAGUCCACGCUGUAAACGAUGAAUACUAGGUGUGGGGGGACUGACCCCUUCCGUGCCGCAGUUAACACAAUAAGUAUUCCACCUGGGGAGUACGGACGCAAGGCUGAAACUCAAAGGAAUUGGCGGGG
rnacentral:rRNA from 1 species